rnacentral:rRNA from 1 species
GCAGUAGCCGCGGUAAUACGUAGGUGGCAAGCGUUGUCCGGAAUUAUUGGGCGUAAAGGGCUCGCAGGCGGUUUCUUAAGUCUGAUGUGAAAGCCCCCGGCUCAACCGGGGAGGGUCAUUGGAAACUGGGAAACUUGAGCGCAGAAGAGGAGAGUGGAAUUCCACGUGUAGCGGUGAAAUGCGUAGAGAUGUGGAGGAACACCAGUGGCGAAGGCGACUCUCUGGUCUGUAACUGACGCUGAGGAGCGAAAGCGUGGGGAGCGAACAGGAUUAGAUACCCCAGUAGUCCCUGUCUCUUAUAU